rnacentral:lncRNA from 1 species
CCAAAAUGGCGGAGUAGAGGAGAUACAGUUUCUGGCUGCUCUGUGCAUGAAUCCGAGAAAACUUUAUUCAGAUGGCUUCUCCACGGGCUUUCACCCUGAUGGAUUACAGUAUCUCAGAGCAUGUGACAGGACCCCAUACAGAAGAUUUUCUCAGAAUCCACCAGAGCUGCGAACACCAAGCAGAACUCUGAGCCUCUGUGUUCCGGUGAGACUCUAGACUUGGGUCCCCAAGGCCGCAGUUUGAGCACAGGCGUGGCUCUCAAGAGGGAGAGCAGAAACACCAAAUCAGCACCUCGGCAGAGCGGCAGACUCCAGACUACGCUCCGCUCCCACACAGGUCACCCGACUGCGUUCUAGCCACAGCACGAGGACAUCCCAGCUGUCCCACCUCACCAGACACCCCACCUCACCAGACACCCCAAGGUGGGAAACAGACGAACUCCAUCUUGGAAAACUUUUCUCACCAUCUUUCUGUGGGAGUGGCUACCAGCGCAGAUCUGGAUCUGCUACUGAACAGGUACCUGGUUUCCAACUCUCCCCAGCUGUGAUAACUCGGCACAGUGAGUAUCAGCACAAAAUAAGCUCUCAGUAGAACAGGAGCGCAGUCCGGCCAGGGUGCUGCCCACCUGGCACUAUCUGAGGAUGGAGGGCAAGAGGGCGGAGGGCAAGAGGUCCCACAGCUGAGACCUGAUAAGCAAGGUAGGGGAGGAAUCUAAAAACUGGGAGCAACUCAGAAAGACCAAGAUUAGGAAAGCUCCAGGCAAGAGAGGGAGAGCUCUAGUCUUCUCACACCAGUUACCUACACCACCCUGAGGGCAGAGACUCAAGCUUGGAAUAGACAACUCCACCUACUGGAAGAGAAGAGAAGAAAACUAAAAUCUAAGAGUAUUUUUGUUUGUUUGGUUUUUGAUUUUGUUUUUGUUCGUUUU